rnacentral:rRNA from 1 species
UAGGGAAUCUACCACAAUGGACGCAAGUCUGAUGGAGCAACGCCGCGUGAGUGAAGAAGAUCUUCGGAUCGUAAAACUCUGUUGUUAGAGAAGAACACGUAUGAGAGUAACUGUUCAUACGUUGACGGUAUUUAACCAGAAAGUCACGGCUAACUACGUGCCAG